CUCCGCCGGCGACCGGCGCACGGGUGAGUAACACGUAUGCAACCUGCCCCUGUCAGGGGGACAACCCGCCGAAAGGCGGGCUAAACCCGCGUGCAUGCCACCGGGGCAUCCCGGAGGCAGGAAAGGCUUCGGCCGGACAGGGAUGGGCAUGCGGCGCAUUAGGCAGUAGGCGGGGUAACGGCCCACCUAACCGACGAUGCGUAGGGGUUCUGAGAGGAAGGUCCCCCACACUGGUACUGAGACACGGACCAGACUCCUACGGGAGGCAGCAG
rnacentral:rRNA from 1 species